UAGUGUUACAGCUCUUUUAAAAUUUGUCUAGCAGAUUUUCCAGUUUUUGUAGGAAAGCCCCC
rnacentral:snRNA from 1 species